GAGGGUAUAGUUCAGUGGUAGAGCAUGUGCUCAGCAUACAUGAGGCCCUGGGUUCAAUCCCCAGUAUCUCCA
rnacentral:tRNA from 1 species